rnacentral:rRNA from 1 species
UACGGAGGGUGCAAGCGUUGUCCGGAAUCACUGGGCGUAAAGGGCGCGUAGGCGGCUCAUGAAGGCUGUGGUGAAAGUCCGGGGCUCAACCUCGGAUCGGCCGUGGCGACUCGUGGGCUGGAGCACUGUAGAGGCGGGUGGAAUUCCUGGUGUAGCGGUGAAAUGCGCAGAUAUCAGGAAGAACACCCGUGGCUAAGGCGGCUCUCUAGUACGGUACUGACGCUGAGACGCGAAAGCGUGGGGAGCGAACAGG